rnacentral:lncRNA from 12 species
GGAGAGGCUUCUUGAUGGUGCUCAACUCUGGGGCCCCCCUGCUGUAACCACUCAGGGAGAUCGCUCCUUUCUGGGUUGGACCUCUGCUGAUACAAGGGUAAACUCUCAAAAGCAGAAUUACUGGGUCAAAAACUAGGAUUUUUAAAAGCAAAGUUUAAAGAUAUUUCUUCCUGCUGUCUUUCUUUCCCAUAAGCCCUUCCCUCCACCUGUAGAUCUCUGUAUACAGCCAGGGCCCUCCUCCCACCACCCCAUCUCUUUACACGUCUCAGCUUCUGGGCACUGGACUAUCCCUCUGGUCACAUUACACUUAAAAAAAUGAUAAAACAAAGAGGUAAGGGGGGCAACCACCACUUCCUGGUGGUAAUUGAUAUCUCUGCUUUCAGAACCUGCUCAGGCAAGUGGAAAGAAUAAGCAAUUAUCUGGAUCAUUUGAGCAAACAUUAACUCCCCUUUGUUUGGCAUCAGUGAGUGGUGGGAGGGAGGGAAAAGUAGAAUUAAUUAUUAACGUCUUUAAAAUUGCCGGAAUUAGGUAGAGAGGAACUGAAUUCACUUCAUUUUCUAUGAGAGUUCUGGUGAGGGAAUGAUUAUCCGCUUGGCCAUUCUGACACCAGGGUUUUAAUUUUGGUAGGAAUCAGUCAAGUAGCGACGUGCCCUUUGCCAUCUGUGGAACUGAACCUGUUGGUGACUGACUCCAUACUGCUGGUCAGGAAGGUUCCAGCACUGCCUCCCAGGCGGUGGAGAUGGGUGCUCAAAACCUGAGCCUGCAUCUUCUCACUACAUUGGCCUCGGCACUCAGGAGAAAUGAAGCUAUCACCCAAAGGGUCUUUGUUGAUGUAGGAUGCAGUAUGAGAAUGCCUUCCAGAUCACUGAUGCACCCUUUCACAAACCAUCUUUGAUGAAAAAUUAAACAGAGACUAAAAGACUUCCUGCUUCAUAGCUAAUGAGCUAUGUGAGACAGGAACACAUUCCAGAAACUUGAAUCACAUUGGAAAUUUGCAUCUAAACUCCCUUAAAAUAAAAUAUGUGCUUUCCAAAAUCUUGGUUAUAAA